UACAGAGGUGGCAAGCGUUGUUCGGAAUUACUGGGCGUAAAGGGCGCGUAGGUGGCCUUCUUAGUCAGACGUGAAAUCCCUCGGCUUAACCGGGGAACUGCGUCUGAUACUGGAUGGCUCGAGUGCAGGAGAGGAAUGCGGAAUUCCAGGUGUAGCGGUGAAAUGCGUAGAUAUCUGGAGGAACACCGGUGGCGAAGGCGGCAUUCUGGACUGCAACUGACACUGAAAGACGAAAGCCAGGGGAGCAAACGGG
rnacentral:rRNA from 1 species